rnacentral:lncRNA from 1 species
GGGCCACACCCACGGCGUAUGGAAGUUCCCAGGCUAGGGGUCUAAUUAGAGCUGUAGCUGCCGGCCUACAUCACAGCCACAGCAAUGCAGGAUCUAAGCCACAUCUUCAACCUACACUAUGGCUCAUGGCAACGCCGGAUCCUUAACCCACUGAGCAAGGCCAGGGAUCAAACCCACAUCCUCAUGGAUACUAGACAUAUUCAUUUCCAGCGCACAAUGGGAACUCCCACUAAGUUUUAUUUAAUGAUACAAAUCUUUUUAGUUAGCUCCUCCACUUACAGACAUGAAAAGAAACAUUUCAGAUUUUUUAAAAGUCAGUAAGAUUUUAAUAGAAUAUAUGAUUCAUAUCUGCUGCUCAAAGAAACUUUUUUGACAAUUCUAAUAUGUUAUCAUGGAGUAAUGCGAUGCCAUGGGGCAAAGAAGGGAGCCCACCAGACACCCUUUUCCAGAAUACACCAUAGGCUAGGUGAGGAAUAAACAUUAGAAUUCAGAUAUCAAUACUUUUACCACAUAUUCUAUACUUGUUUUCUGCCCUAUCCGGUGCUUUACUCCUGGAUUCAGGAUGGACUCCUUGCACAACCUGAGUCUACUGGGCUGUUGAUCAACAAAGCAGUCCUCACCUGAAGAGCCAGACCUUACAAUUACUUAUUUGAAAGGCCCAGGGUCAUUUCUCAAAGGGUAAGUUGCCAUACAUAAGAUAUUUUCUGCUGUUUUUCAAAUCUUUAAGUUUUCAGAGUUUUUUCAAAACUCUAGGUAUAUGUUAUUCUUGAACACUUAGAUUUACAGGCAGUUACACAGAAAGACGUUAGGAAGUAAAAAUUAAAACAGUUCCCUACCUUCUAAAUGCUUAUCAGUCCAGGCAAUCAGAUAGAGGGUGGAAGCUAGUCAAUUAGAUUAGGAACUAUUAUUUUUUACUAAAGUUUGACCUUAUAUAAAGGUUUGAAUUUCAAUAUAUUUAACAUAUCAAUUAAAUAAUGGAUAAAGUGACUUCUCUUUUAUUAUAUUCAUCUUCCUAAUCCAUUUUAUCAUCAAAUUUCAAAGGCUGAGAACUAACAGUAAGAAAGAAAUGGCUAAGUGCAUAAAGAUAUUCUGAUUUGUAUCCACUUUAAAUAGCGACACAAAUGUGUUCCUUCAGUUGAAAUCAACUGUUGCUACUUCCUUCUUCUCAUCACACACACACAUACACACACAGACAGAAGCAUAUAUAUCUCUCCACAGGUUGAAUGCAUCAGGAAGCAUAUGGGAAGCACUUCCUGUGAAUCUACUAAAACUCUAUCACAACCAAUAAAAAAUUAAAAUAUGUCUCCCCUAGGACUGAAGAAAGAAUUAAGCCAGGAAAGAUAUCAUUAGUAAUGCAAAGAGUAAAGCACAGAGCCAGGCAUCAGGUGGGCUCUUUUUUAAUAUAAAGUGACAUUUCCUGUAACCUCUGGAUCAUGAGUCUACAUGUUUGAUAUAGAUAAUUUCUUCAGAAAUUGAGGACACCAAAUUUGUGAGGAAUAGCAGUAAAUUGGGGUCGAAACUGAGGGUUCCUGUUUGUUUCUGAAUCCUCUCUGCAAUGUUUCGGUUAUAUUUUCAUGCAUUGGCCCAUAGUUGGGUAUUAAUAGGAUUUGGGGACAAUUAUGUGUACAGGAAUGCAAAAGUAGAACCCAUAGUCUGACUGAUGAAUGCUGUCUUCUCAAAUUCUGUCAGUUUUCCUAAACUUGGAAACAGCACAAGAUUACUGUGAAGGAAAACAGAUUCAGGUCAGCAACCCUGAAUAUAAAAGCUCCACUUGCAAUAUAUUUGUAAUAGUGAGAAAAGAAAUUGCCCAUGAAUUCCUGGUGAACCAAAAGCAAUUAGAUUGACAAAAAAAAGGAAACUGUUAGAAAUAAGUUUUCCAUAAAAAAAUAGCACAGAUACCAUUCCCAUUACUAAAGUACAUCAGAACUGAUAGUGUUUAUAUCAGAAUACUCCAAACUUGUUAAAAAUAAAUGGCAUCAUUUUUACUCAAGGUGACUAAGAAAUAAAGUUGGUGUUUUCAACUUUGUUGAUCCUGUGACUGGGGCCUGUAGGAAUGCAUUUAAGAGGUGAAUUCAAAGUCUGUCAGACAAGGCAGGGUUUAAAUCUCUCGACAAAAUGAAAUCUAAUACUGUUCCUUUAACGCAAGCAGGAAGGAGAGUGUAAGUAACAGUUUAAUCAACCCCCAACAGCUAAAUGGAUAGAUGAGAGUAGACAGGGGAAGCAGAGCUGCCUGGCAGAGAGAGGAAGAGGAAGAAAAACCCUGAGAGAUAUCUUGCAUUAUAGACAGUGCUUUUCUUCUAGGCUUGCAGAACACUUCAAGUGACUUCUCCAAUUAAUCUCUAAAGCACUUUAUGAAGACUAGGCUGGGGUGAGAAGGGUUAUCUUCCUUUAGACCUAAGAAAACAGGAAGAGUAAAUCCCAGCCCUCUCAAGGUCAGACAGGAGAGAAAGCCAUGGCCAGAACUUGGAUUUUUUGGUUCCCUCUCCUGUAUUCAAACUUUGAGUUCCUAUGUUUGUUGGGGUGGGGGGGGGGGACUUCAAGAUGAACAGGGAUUAACAAAUAUAACCAAAAACAGACAAAAGAAUCCAUAUGGGAUUUAGGAAGGGCUUUCUUUUGAAUCAUACUUUAAAAAACAGGGAAUCUUUUUAUUUUAAUUAUUCUUUGUUUUCUUCAUCAACACAAUGCAGGACAAAUUCCCUCAACACUUUUGAACCUCAAUCUGGUAACUAAGCUACCCACAAAGGGAGCUGUGAUUCAGUCAGCUAAUGUUAUCACACUUUAAAAAAAAUGUAUUUAUUGGAUCACACAAAGAAAUUAAGAAAAUGAUUACCAAUUAUCUUGGCAAGGAUUCCUUAAUUAAUUGCCAGCGCUAAUAACAUGUUAUCUUCCCUAUUAUUAAAACAAUGCGACUUCUAUUAAAAACUAUUCAUUAAAGAUUCAUUUGUUCUUUAUUGCAUCCCGCUGUUUCAUAUCUUAUGUAGCUAAAGGGCUGCUUCCUAGAGUAUGAAGUACUGCUGUGCGGAGACACAGUACCAGCUAUAGAAUUUAUGUUGACAGACGUUACACUCCUGAAUGCUCUGUCUAGAGUAUCAUAAGGAUAUUAUUCAUAAAAGCAAACAGAACUAAUGUAUAGAGGUCUAGAGGGUGUGUGCAAAAAUUAUAUUACCUUCCAAAAGUAACUUAGCUAUAUUCCUCUCAUAGACAGAGGCAGUGGUUCUCAACAGGGACAGUCCCCCAUGACAAAGGAUUGUCUGGCUCCCAAAUGUCAGGGGGCUGCUGUUGCAGUGCUGCUCUUGAGAAACCCUGAUUUAGAGGCAAAAUAUUAGAUUUCUGCUGCCAGUAGCCAUUGUUGCUCUUAGCCAGCUCUGUCAUAGCUGUGGCAGAAUCUAAGGUGGCACUUUGGCAAUGCUACUAAGAUAAUUAGGACAUAAGGAUUAUUUCCACAUUUCUCCCAUGAAUGAGCCAAAUGAAGGAUGGGGUCAUUAGCUAACUAAGUAUUUCUAUAAUUGCCACGAUGCCCCCCACUCUCAAACUCUCCCCCAGCUCACCCCCAUGCUAAGAAUGGCUAACAUUUUAUUAAGUUAGAAUAAGAUCCUGUGUCUCUGACAUAUUUGAAUCGAAGCCACUGAGACAAAACCAAACCUUAGUCCAACCUCCCUUGGGAAAUUUUUGUUCAUUUUAAUACUUGUUCAGUCAGCUGUCUGCCUGAAUGACAAGGUUUUUAUCUCUAAUGUGAGUGGCUUUGAAGGCUACUUGCAUUAUCCAUUCCUCAGCAAUUGCUGCUGAAACCACAACACUGCAAGCUGAUAAUUAAAUCCAGCUGCCUCUACUAUGAAUUCAAUCAUAUCAACAUUAGCAGCAAUCUUAGUCGUUGUUGGUGGGUUUCUUUUUCCAUUUCCAGACAACAUAAUUAACUUCACUAGCCUUCUUAAGCAAAACUCAGAGCUAAAGAACAUUAUAAAUUAAACUACUAUAAAUACUCUUGGUAUGAAGGAAUGCAAUUGAAUCAUGAGGAUAUUGAACUGGUGACAAUGCAUUAUUUAUUUGUAUCAGGCUAUUUGAUCUUAUACACAUUAUGUUCAAUCUACAGGCACAGUUUCAGAUUUCACUUGUGAAAUCUUAUGUUAACUGACAGUUUAGUACUCAUGAAAAAUUAACUCCAGAAAUGUAAACAAGACAUAGUUCAUAAUGCAAAAAGUCAACAUGUCAAACAUUGAAAUAUACCCACUAAAAUGAUAUCAAAGUGCUUUCACAUCAUCUGAACUAACAAUUCAAGAGAUAUAUUGUAAUUGACUUUAAAAUAAUCUUUCACAGCACAAAUAUUUCAAAACCAUCUGAUUUUUAAAUUGUGAUGGCAUUGUAAGAAUACCCCAAAUAUACCUUAAUAUAAGUAUUUGACAUUAGUAGUGAGGAAGUAACAUUUUUCUCUACUGAGUAAUGUUUUCUUGCACAAGUACAAUAACAGUUGCUUUAUUUUUACAGAUUAAAAGUUUUAAAGUAAAGAAAAUGACAAAUAUGACUACAAGUAGAGUACCCUUUGUGGCCCAGUGAUUAAUGAACCCAACUAGGAACCAUGAGAAUGAGGGUUCAAUCCCUGGCCUCGAACUCAGCGAUUGGAUACAACAUUGCCGUGAGCUGUGGUAUAGGUCACAGAUGCGGCUUGGAUCCCACGUUGCUGUGGCUAUAGCAUAGGCUGGCAGCUGUAGCUUUGAUUCUACCCCUAGCCUGGGAAUUUCCACACGCCACAGGUAUGGCCCUAAAAAAAAAAAAAAAAAAAAA